CGCUGCUCCACACCUGUGAUGCGUUGCUUCAUCAUGCGGCUCUUCUUAAGCUACUGACAGACCUCCGGUCUUCGCUGGAUCAUUGACUGAGUCUCAAUCCUCUGUGGAAGUGCCUGUUCCGUCGCUGUCUCGUCUCCAGUCACCGCUCUCCACGCCGCCCAGCUACACUCUGUUGGAGUUCCGCCACCAACCCCUCUCACCAAGCCUGCCACUGCUCGCCCCUUGGAUUCCUCCCUGCUGCCCCACGCAGUGGGCACCGCUCAGCCCGAGCUCUCCGCUCCAUCUCCUGAGAUCCCCAUUCACGAUUUCACUAUAAAUAAAACUGUCACUGUUUCAUUUAAGCGUUUGUCUGUGUCCUCUCCUUCCCCACGUCCUGACAGAAUGAUCAAGCCACAAAAGGACACAACAGACGCUAAUCCCCUCAGCCGGACCCUGGCCCUUCAGGAGGAAACCCUCAAGCAUCACGAUCACAUGCUUCGCUUGAUUGCCAGCCAGCUGGGAGCUACCACCCAUCAGCUGGCGGAUGUAAAAGAUUCAAGGAGGUGUUUGACAAAAGCUCCUGUCCGGAUGUCGCCGCGCAGAGACUGGUCAGCGUGAAACAGGGGAGGAGAAGCGUGGCCGAUUUCUCUGUGGAUUUGAGGAUCCUCGCGGAAGAAGCUGGCUGGGAGGAGAAGGCACUCGGAGUUUUUCUAAACAGCUUAAAUGAUGAUCUCAAAUAUGAACUCACCACCAGAGAUCUGCCACGAUCUUUGGGGGCUGUUAUUUCCCUUUGUAUCCGCUUAGAUGACCGCGUAAGUGCACAGCGGGGCCUGAGAAACUACAGUUCCCAUCAUACCUCUCGCCACUCCGUUCCUGGAUGUAUUAUUAUCAAGGUAGUGUAAAGGCCCAAUUAUGGACAGGUAAAUUAGCUUAGGCUAUAAAUGUGGUGGUGUGUUGCCUGUUUCAUAUUUCUAUGGAAAAAUAAAAGUAAACCAAACAAACUGUAUAAAGGCUCUGCUACAGAAGGCAGCCUGUCCAGGGUGUACCGAGUUCUUAACCAUAUGACCGGUGGGAUAAGAGACUUGACCUAUAAAAAAGUUAAGUUGAAACAACAUAAACAAGUUUGUUGAUCAGUGUUAAGCUGACACUUUGAACUGUGUUGAACAGUGACCCAAAGAAAAAUUACAGCCUUUAAAAAAUGAAGGAGUUUAU